CAGGGAUCAGUGAGAAACACCCCACUGAAAUAGAAAAUGAAAUAAAAUUUAACUAUUUAGCUAUGUAAGUGUGACUUUGCAAAACGUAAAACUGCUUAAAAGUUUCUGCCCAAACUGUGGGCAAUUAAGAUAAAAUAGCUUAGAGAAUAGGGAAAGCCUUUUUAGCACGUAGAGAGGGGUGGGGAACCUGAAACUGCUUGAAAUGAUAAAACUUUAUGUAACUACUCUAUAAUGGUAAGAAGAGGAGGUAAAACCAAGUGUCUAUUUAGAUAAGGCAGACUGCAAAAAGAGUGUGUGCAUAGAUAAUUUUAAACUUGCUACUUUCAAACUGUAUAAAAAGCUAUGGUAUUCCUUUGCUCAGUGGAG